UUCUGGCUCAGGAUGAACGCUAGCUACAGGCUUAACACAUGCAAGUCGAGGGGCAGCAUUGGAGUAGCAAUACUCAGAUGGCGACCGGCGCACGGGUGAGUAACACGUAUCCAACCUGCCGCUUACUCGGGGAUAGCCUUUCGAAAGAAAGAUUAAUACCCGAUGGUAUAAAGAGUUCGCAUGUUCUCUUAUUAAAGAAUUUCGGUAAGCGAUGGGGAUGCGUUCCAUUAGAUAGUUGGCGGGGUAACGGCCCACCAAGUCUACGAUGGAUAGGGGUUCUGAGAGGAAGGUCCCCCACAUUGGAACUGAGACACGGUCCAAACUCCUACGGGAGGCAGCAGUGAGGAAUAUUGGUCAAUGGACGAGAGUCUGAACCAGCCAAAAGUAGCGUGAAGGAUGACUGCCCUAUGGGUUGUAAACUUCUUUUAUAAGGGAAUAAAGUGAGGGACGUGUCCCUUUUUGUAUGUACCUUAUGAAUAAGGAUCGGCUAACUCCGUGCCAGCCGCGGC
rnacentral:rRNA from 1 species